CUCUGGGCUCUGCGUGGCUCGAUCCCGCGGCCUGAGAGGAAGCGGGACGCGCGACGUCCACAUCCGUCGGCGGCAUUUCCGGCUCAGCAGCGCCUCGCCCGCCGGCGCCCCCUGUCGGCGCCCAGCGUCACAGCGCGGGGCCUGGGCCUCAGGUGUUCUUGAAGAGUUCGUUGGAAUCCCGUGUUCGGCAGCAGGGAAGCAGAGGAGGCGGCCGCGCAUCGUGCGUGUUACAACUCCACAGCUAUUGCAGCCGAGCUUGGAGAGCCGAAUGCUGUGAGGAACAACCUGCCUGUCACUGCCGUCCAGCCCUAGUCAGUUUCUCCUCCACGUGCUUUGAAUUUGAAAGCUGUGAUGCACAAGGCGCUGGUCUCACCCUCCUCUACAAGACACCUGACGGUCAGUGCUGAGCGCACGUGGCUAAAUGGCAGCACUCGAAGGCCUGCCGCAUUUACCGUCUCUCGCCCGUGGGGUCGGCGCAGCCACCCCAGGCAUCUGCCGAAUGAGAAACCAGGAGGACCCAUCAGCCCUGGACACUCUGGAAGUCAUGUCCCUCGUGAGUUUUAAAGUGAUGUAAAUAUUUGCUUUGCUCAUCCUGAAAC